AGUCCGACUAUCAAUUUAUGGUGACUGAAUUGUGAUCAAUAUUCCCCCAAAGCGUCCAAGCCCUGAACUGUAAUAGUGUGAUAAGAGUUUGCGAGCGAUAAAAGAUGGGUUUGGGAGAGGCAAAGAGAAGAGAGUACUAACAAACAAGACUGCAUCGCUAUUAAUGCCCAUAGCAACACCUCUGUUCUGUUCACAAGUGCAGGGGAAGAUGAAGCGAGCUACAGUCGGCCCAUUACCCAGUGUUACUCAAGAUAUUAAUUGCUGGGUACAAGGCUGGCAAGUGUCUGUGGGUUUAUAUGAAUAGGGGAAUAUACUAUCAGGCUUAUUUAUCUGGUUUAAAUAUCAAAAUUUUCUAAGAAAUAACUCAGACAUGUUUUGA